rnacentral:rRNA from 1 species
AGUGAACGCUGGCGGUAGGCCUAACACAUGCAAGUCGAACGGCAGCACAGUAAGAGCUUGCUCUUACGGGUGGCGAGUGGCGGACGAGUGAGGAAUACAUCGGAAUCUACUUUUUCGUGGGGGAUAACGUAGGGAAACUUACGCUAAUACCGCAUACGACCUACGGGUGAAAGCAUGGGAUCUUCGGACCUUGCGCGAUUGAAUGAGCCGAUGUCGGAUUAGCUAGUUGGCGGGGUAAAGGCCCACCAAGGCGACGAUCCGUAGCUGGUCUGAGAGGAUGAUCAGCCACACUGGAACUGAGACACGGUCCAGACUCCUACGGGAGGCAGCAGUGGGGAAUAUUGGACAAUGGGCGCAAGCCUGAUCCAGCCAUACCGCGUGGGUGAAGAAGGCCUUCGGGUUGUAAAGCCCUUUUGUUGGGAAAGAAAAGCAGCAGGUUAAUACCCCGCUGUUCUGACGGUACCCAAAGAAUAGGCACCGGCUAACUUCGUG